AACAAACGCUGGCGGCGUGCCUAAUACAUGCAAGUCGAACGGGUAGCAAUACCAGUGGCGCACGGGUGAGGAAUACAUAGAUAAUCUGCCUUCGAGUCGGGGAUAACCAGUCGAAAGGUUGGCUAAUACCGGAUAAGACACAAGAUCUGCGGAUCUAGGGGUUAAAGGUUUUUCGCUUGAAGAUGAGUCUAUGCGAGAUUAGCUAGUUGGUGAGGUAAUGGCUCACCAAGGCGACGAUCUCUAACUGGUCUUAGAGGAUGAUCAGUCACACUGGAACUGAGACACGGUCCAGACUCCUACGGGAGGCAGCAGUAGGGAAUAUCGCGCAAUGGGGGAAACCCUGACGCAGCGACGCCGCGUGAGUGAUGAAGGCCUUCGGGUCGUAAAGCUCUGUCGUAUGGGAAUAACACAAUGAAUGUACCAUGCAAGAAAGGAUCGGCUAACUUCGUGCCAGCCGCCGCGGUAA
rnacentral:rRNA from 1 species